AUUGAACGCUGGCGGCAGGCUUAACACAUGCAAGUCGAGCGGAGAGAGGUAGCUUGCUACUGAUCUUAGCGGCGGACGGGUGAGUAAUGCUUAGGAAUCUGCCUAUUAGUGGGGGACAACAUUUCGAAAGGAAUGCUAAUACCGCAUACGUCCUCCGGGAGAAAGCAGGGGAUCUUCGGACCUUGCGCUAAUAGAUGAGCCUAAGUCGGAUUAGCUAGUUGGUGGGGUAAAGGCCUACCAAGGCGACGAUCUGUAGCGGGUCUGAGAGGAUGAUCCGCCACACUGGGACUGAGACACGGCCCAGACUCCUACGGGAGGCAGCAGUGAGGAAUAUUGGACAAUGGGCGCAAGCCUGAUCCAGCCAUGCCGCGUGUGUGAAGAAGGCCUUAUGGUUGUAAAGCACUUUAAGCGAGGAGGAGGCUACUUUAGUUAAUACCUAGAGAUAGUGGACGUUACUCGCAGAAUAAGCACCGGCUAACUCUGUGCCAGCCGCCGCCGUAA
rnacentral:rRNA from 1 species